rnacentral:lncRNA from 1 species
CUUAUCUCAAGCCAUUUAUUUUAUAGAAAUUAGUGACGUGCAGAAUGAAGGAAGGUGACAAGAACCUUAAGAAUAACAACUUCUGAAUUGAUCCAUUGACUAUCCCUGCUGCUUGUACCCUGGACUGCCUGCUGCCCAACUCUACUUGCCCUUGAGGAUUGGAGAGAGGAAGGCAGAAAGGAGCAUUUUGGAGAAGCUUCUCUGAGUAAUUGCCACUCUUCCACUGGAUAUAAGCUCUGUCACGUUCCUAAAAGACCUUGCAGUUCCAGUAGCAGCACCCACUCCACAUCCUUUCCAGGCUUGCCUAGUUAUUGA